ACUUCGGUAACUCCUAUCCCUACCUCCUCGUGGUACUGGCCGGGGUACGAGUAACCUUGGGGAAGAUCGGGUAACCAACCCCCGGUGGGAACUUUGGUCGUAUGCUGACAGGGAAGG
rnacentral:ribozyme from 1 species